CCAACUUUCUCUCAUGUAGUGUGAUGAGUGUAAUGCAUCAGCCUAGAGCUCCCCGUGUGUUUGGAUCCUGCAAUAACAGCGGUUUGGGGCGUGCGCACACCAAGCCAGCUGUAGGACCGGGUGGAAGCGAGAUGAGAAUACUAAACAGGCACCUCAUGGCUCAGCAUCAGCACCGGGCUGAGUUAGGAUUUGCGCACCCUCCAAACUUGGCUUGGGACCUCAGCAUGUGAACGGGCUUUGCAGGAGGAGGAUCCACCUAGAAUGUCAGCUCUGAAGAAGGUGUUGCCAGGCAUACUGCAGAAGCAUUGCUGUAUCUUACCAGACAGGAACACAGGUGUGAAGAGGUUGCUGAUGAAAUUGAAGAGCAGGGAGAUAUACUCAGGUACCUGGCUGCAGUCCU